rnacentral:rRNA from 1 species
CCUUAGAUGUUCUGGGCCGCACGCGCGCUACACUGACAGGGCCAACGAGUUCUAACCUUGGCCGAGAGGUCUGGGUAAUCUUGUUAAACCCUGUCGUGCUGGGGAUAGAGCAUUGCAAUUAUUGCUCUUCAACGAGGAAUAUCUAGUAAGCGCAAGUCAUCAGCUUGCGUUGAUUACGUCCCUGCCCUUUGUACACACCGCCCGUCGCUACUACCGAUUGAAUGGCUCAGUGAGGCCUUCGGACUGGCUCAGGGAGGUCGGCAACGACCACCCAGAGCCGGAAAGUUGGUCAAACUUGGUCAUUUAGAGGAAGUAAAAGUCGUAACAAGGUUUGAAUAAUGAUUCUUCUUCAGUGACGCUUAUGAGAAGCCUUUGCAGCCCCGCAAGGGGCACCUAAACGACUCAAAAUAUUUAUAGGUGUUAAAUUGCAAGUCAGCACCAGCUGGCGACACUUUCGAAUUGCGGGGAAUCCCUAAAGCUCAGAACUACCAACCAUCUGUGGAAACUCAGUUGGGGCUCAUGGUAACGACAUGAGGUGAGGUAAUAAGGUUCUGAGAUAAAUAGUAUGGGUAAUCCGCAGCCAAGGCCCUAAAACCUUUAGUCAUGGGCCAGGUUCACAGACUAAGUGGAAGUGGGUUGAACUUAACCAUUCAGCUUAAGAUAUAGUCGGGCCUAUUGAGAAAUCUUUAGGGAGUCACAUAUGACACAAAUUCUGAUCCAAGUGACAAUAAAUGAGAUUUUGUCCUGGAGGUUCAUAGCGAACCUUAAACCCUGAAUUUUUAACUGUUCCGUAGGUGAACCUGCGGAAGGAUCAUUACAGUAUUUUAUAUACAAACAAGGCGCCCUCUGUCCUGUGGCUUUAUAAAGCCGCGGGAUACUGGCUACUUUUAAACCCUCUGUGAACCUACCUCACUUAUGCCUCGGCAGCCUAGCCGCCGCCUCCGCGGCCGGCUCUGUAAGCCUGCCAGGCCCCCAAUUUAUAAACUUGUUUUUAAAAUUACGUCUGAGCCAUUCUGAACUGAAUGAAAAUUAAAACUUUCAACAACGGAUCUCUUGGUUCUCGCAUCGAUGAAGAACGCAGCGAAACGCGAUAGUUAAUGUGAAUUGCAGAAUUCAGUGAAUCAUCGAGUCUUCGAACGCACAUUGCGCCCGUUGGUAUUCCGACGGGCACGUCUGUUUGAGCGUCAUGUCAUAACUCAACCGCCAGGUUGGUGCUGGGCUCGGGCAUCCCCCAAAAGGGAACCCGGCCUUAAAGUGGCAGCUCUGCGGGCCCGCCCCUCCCCGAACAUAGUACAAAAAGCUUGCUCGAGGGAGCCGGCGCGGUCGCCGCCUGAACAAACUAUUAACCAAAGGUUUGACCUCAGAUCAGACGAGGAUACCCGCUGAACUUAAGCAUAUCAAUAAGCGGAGGAAAAGAAACCAACAGGGAUUGCCUCAGUAACGGCGAGUGAAGCGGCAAGAGCUCAAAUUUGAAAUCUGGCGCAAGCCCGAGUUGUAAUUUGAAGAGGAUGCCUCGGUUGCGGCCACAGCCCAAGUCUCUUGGAACAGAGCGUCAUGGAGGGUGAGAAUCCCGUCCGGCUGUCGGCUCACGCCGUGUGUGGCUCCUUCGAAGAGUCGAGUUGUUUGGGAAUGCAGCUCAAAAUGGGUGGUAGAUUUCCAUCUAAAGCUAAAUAUUGGCGAGAGACCGAUAGCGCACAAGUAGAGUGAUCGAAAGAUGAAAAGCACUUUGAAAAGAGAGUUAAACAGUACGUGAAAUUGUUGAAAGGGAAGCGCUUGCGAUCAGACUCGCCUGCGGUUGAUCAACGUUCCUUCUGGUUCGUGCACUCUUCCGUCGGCGGGCCAGCAUCGGUUGGGACGGCGGGACAAAGGCGCCGGGAAUGUGGCUCCUCGGAGUGUUAUAGCCCGGUGUGCAAUGCCGCCAGCCCCGACCGAGGUCCGCGCUUCGGCUAGGAUGCUGGCUUAAUGGUCGUAAGCGAC